GGGAAGGGUUUUUUCUUGGAGAUCCCUCUUUGGUGAGGCUUUCCCUUGUGAACCUGUAAUCUUCUGAUAUGGGAGUGACACGAUGCCAGCACGCGUGCUGCUGCCUGCCCUGAGCCGCCCAUGAACCCAGGGAAUAUGACAACACUGAACCCGAGUGCUGGAGUCCCACCAGGCAGAAAUUGCUCUGCAGAAAGAACAGCUUUGAAACUGUGAGCCAGGGGAUGAGCUGAUGGGAAUAAGAGGCAAGAAGUCACCUCCUUUGGGCCCUAGGCUACCAUAAGCACCUUGAGUGCUGCUUGUACAGCUCAGUGUGAGUCCGAAGCAGCGGCGAUUGGAGGGCACUUACUUCCAACCAUGCUCUGAGAUGAGAUUGUGAACAAAUCCCAGUCACUGUUAUCCAAACCUGGAUCGUUUAAUCAACCCCAAUGAGCUCCCAGAUGCAGAACACUGCUUUAAUUCUUCUGAGCUGGAUUAAAGGGAACACAUGCCAAUGGCCCCGCGCGGCAGUGACAGAGCAGCCAUAACUCACUGCUACCAGCGAGCUCCGACUAUUUAUUUAUUGAGUUCAGCCAGCAGACUUCUAAGUGAUUUAGAUGUUCCCCAAGAUAAAAACAGUGGAGUAGUCAGGGGCUUUGCAAAUCUAGCGUUGCAUCAGCAGCUGAAAGGGAACAAGAGGGAGGGCAGGGAGGGGGAAGCAGCUUGUGCGUAAAUGAGCACAUUUUGGUUUUCUUGCUGACCGAUAUUAGCAAAGACAGUGAGUUGUGCUGCUCUUUAGGCACGUCCCUUAUUUGUUUUCAGUACAGGAAAGGAGGCAGUAUAGGGAGGACGGGACGGAGCAGCACACGAGAUGCCAAAUCAAAAGGCAAGUUAAAAAUGGUGUGGAUUAAAACAAGGGAGGCCUUGGGGAGAGAGGAAAAAAUAAUUGGUUCCUAAAGGGAAUAAAAACAUCACCUUCAGAGGAUGACAGGAAUUCCUCAUGUAGGGGAUUUAGCAGUGAAGGACAGAUUCCUCCUCCCCCCCCCUUUUUUUUUUUUUUGUUUUAUUGCUUAAAGGCAAAAUAUAUGUUAAGCCUGACAGGCAUUUUUGAACUUUGAACUCUCUGACCUUUGAAGCCUCCAAAAUGAACCUGGGCUGACUCCAAAGGAAUGGCAACAAAUGGCAGAGUCGGUCCCCCUGUUGGCUUCACUUCUCCUUUACAAUCCACACAAGGAAAGCUGUGUCUCGCCCCGGUUUGCACCUUUCCUCCCUCUUUCCUCCUUCCCUCCGCUGCUGCCUGGGGAACAUGAGACAAUCCUGUGUAAUUUAUGGAUAUUUUCUGAGUUUAGAGAUAUUGAACAAAAAAAUGUAUAUAUAUCAUGGGAUGGGAGCUUAUCCUCCCAUCGUGAGAACAGUAAAUGUCAGACAUUGUCCUUAAACCUGGAAGUCUGCAACAGACACAGUGCAAGAAGAGUGAAGGGAAAGUACAUGGAGCAAAACCUCUCACCUCUUCUGCACUCGGAUUGCUGGAGCAUUUCUGCGUUGAGAAAUAGGAGAACGAUGUUUGCAUCCCCCCCUGAGUUUUGCUGCUGCCUCCCUACCUGUUCUAUGUCCCCAUAAAGUGUAAAAUAGUGCCAUCUACUGGCGCUACAUUUCAGUGCUCUCUCCGAAUGGUUCCAACGAGCGCCGGGCACUCAGCAGACCUCAAGAGUUGAUUUUGUAUCCCUUGGCUACUGUGUUAACUCUCUAACGCGUUGCUUGGGUGGCACUAAAGCAGCCGUAGACCAACGAUUGAGAUGGGUGUUGGUCUCUGAUGAUGCCAAAGUCAAAGGGUAAAAAUGAGCUUAGCCCCAAAUGUAAAAUUCUAUCAUUCUAUCACCUUGCUUGGAGCUGCCAUCACCCAAAAGCCAACCAGAGGAGCAACCCAAUGUUGCACGUGCUCACCCAAUACCAGUGAGGGGGGGUUAUUUUUAAAUACAUACGUAACUCAAGUUUUUAAAGUAUAUAAACUGUAUGGAAGGUGUGCGCUCAUCUCAGGACAGCCUCAAUUUCGGAAUAGCUUGUGCAACCUACUGUGUUACUUCCCAGAAGGUGUUCUCCCACUUCCCAGCAGAUUUACCCC
ensembl:lncRNA